rnacentral:rRNA from 1 species
UACAGAGGUGGCAAGCGUUGUUCGGAAUUACUGGGCGUAAAGGGCGCGUAGGCGGCCUUGUAAGUCAGACGUGAAAUCCCCCGGCUUAACCUGGGAACUGCGUCUGAUACUGGGAGGCUAGAGUGCGGGAGAGGGAUGCGGAAUUCCAGGUGUAGCGGUGAAAUGCGUAGAUAUCUGGAGGAACACCGGUGGCGAAGGCGGCAUCCUGGACCGACACUGACGCUGAGGCGCGAAAGCUAGGGUAGCAAACGGG